UGAACGCUGGCGGCGUGCCUACUACAUGCAAGUCGAGCGAACGGACGAGAAGCUUGCUUUUCUGAUGUUAGCGGCGGACGGGUGAGUAACACGUGGAUAACCUACCUAUAAGACUGGGAUAACUUCGGGAAACCGGAGCUAAUACCGGAUAAUAUUUUGAACCGCAUGGUUCAAAAGUGAAAGACGGUCUUGCUGUCACUUAUAGAUGGAUCCGCGCUGCAUUAGCUAGUUGGUAAGGUAACGGCUCACCAAGGCAACGAUGCAUAGCCGACCUGAGAGGGUGAUCGGCCACACUGGAACUGAGACACGGUCCAGACUCCUACGGGAGGCAGCAGUAGGGAAUCUUCCGCAAUGGGCGAAAGCCUGACGGAGCAACGCCGCGUGAGUGAUGAAGGUCUUCGGAUCGUAAAACUCUGUUAUUAGGGAAGAACAUAUGUGUAAGUAACUGUGCACAUCCUGACGGUACCUAAUCAGAAAGCCACGGCUAACUACGUG
rnacentral:rRNA from 1 species